rnacentral:rRNA from 1 species
AUGGUAUCCGCGACGACGAUGCACCACCGGCGCCGCUCCAUUCUCCAGCUGGCCCUCCUACUACUGGCGGCGUCACCGGCGGCAAUGCUGGCGGCCGGCGGAGCCUGCGAGAGAGAGGAGUUCCCGGCCGGCAGGAGCUACGCGACGUGCGCGGAUCUCCCUGCCCUCGGCGCCUCGCUGCACUGGACGUACGACGCGGCGGCCUCGUCGUUGUCCCUGGCAUUCGCGGCCAAGCCGCCCGGCGCGAGCGGCGCCGGCUGGGUGGCUUGGGGGGUCAACCCCACCGGCGAUGGCAUGAAGGGCGCGCAGACGCUCCUCGCCUUCAAGAGCAAAGGCGCAUACGUCGUCAACACGUACAACCUCACCGGGUACCGCCCGCUCAGCGCGGCGUCCACGCCGAUCGCGUUCGAGGCCACCGAGCUCGCCGCCGACGAGGGCGCCGACGGGAAGGUGCGGCUCUACGGCACGCUGCAGCUGCCCAAGGGCAUGGAGGCCGUGAACCACAUCUGGCAGGUAGGGUCGACGGUGGCCAAUGGGGUGCCGGCCAAGCACGCGUUCGCGCAGGAGAACCUCGAGGCGAAGGGCAGUCUUGUGCUCACCGGUGCCGGAGCGACGGAGGCCGCGCCAGCUCCGGUGUUUAUCUCUCACGACUAUCUCGAUUAA